GAAGGGUCGGGGUCGCUAGCCAGCAAAUGUCGGGGGAGUGGGAGACAUGCAUGGACGCUGAGAGUUGCUGAUGUCACGGUGAAAGCAUGAGCAAGGAGUGACGUGAGGACAGCCGGUCACUGGCUACCAGCCCAGUCUGGGUAUACCCUGGGAAUUGCGGUCUCCAGCCUGCCGCACCUGGUGGUUUCCAAUUGCAGAGCUGAGGCAAGACAAGUCUGAAGAGCAGAGCAGCAGUCCAGAAAAGUGGAGAGCAAUAUUAAGAUGGCGUCUAAGGCAAGACAGUGGAGGGAGACAUGCUGGACAAUGCCAAGGAUUGGGGAGAAAACCAGAUGUGAACCCAGGGCACAGAGAGCUUGGGGGUAGGUAUCUGUCUGUAACCCUUCCCUGUCCCCUCUCACAGAUAGAGUCCAAGAGGGAUUCGAAGGACCGAACGACAGCUCCAGUACUAAAGGUGACUUAGGUGCCUGAUUCAGCUUCCAUGUGCGUGUCUGUCUGAAAUUGAACCUGUCAUCAGCCCUUUCCCAGCUGCCUCCUCACUGCCUAUCUGCUGUGUUCCUGGUGUUCUCUCUGCCCCGGCAGUCCCUGUAGCAUGGCUAAUCUCUUGUCAUGUUCCUUUCGUCGUUGGGUUACCUCUUUUUAUACAUUUGCCUGGGUAGAGAGUACCCUGGUUGGCAGAUAUACUCUUGUCUGGUGUAUAGUCAAAUGUUUGUGGGAAGGGUAGCCAUAUGGUGGCUGUGUGACAUUAUUGACAUAAACUGCAACCACUGUUCUAUAUUUGCAGCAAAUAUUGUACAAAGGUUGUAGUGUGAGGUGUCUAUGAAGAGGUUAUGAUUUGUUGGCUGUGAUUAUGCUAUCUGUAUUUGAACCAUUUUUGUAGUUGAAGUUAUGAAUAUUGGCUAUGUACUUGUAUCUCAAUGUGUAUGAUUCUAAAUAGCAUUAGUGAAACAUUUGGUCAGCUUUUUAAGAAAGGAAUUUGCAAAUUAAGUGCCCAAUCAAGAAUCCGUUAACUGACAAUGGACCUUGGAAGACUCCAAUACACAUAAGAAGUCUUCCUGGGACAUUCAAGGUAACACGUGAGCAAUGGCUGCCACCUGCAAACUGAGUCAUGCAUGGACAUGUGACUCCAAACUCCAUCGUGCUGCUGUGAUUUUUCCAGAGUAAGAACAAAUAUGUCCUUCCACAGGGCAGAGAAUAUAAAAGGCCCUGGAAACCCCUCCAUUUUGUCUUCAAUCCUGCUUCUUACUUCUGGAGGAACCUUGCUGCAAACUGAAGCUCUGAACAAAGGACUAUAUGACCCAUCCCAGCUGUGGACGUACUCCAGAGAUUUGAUUUGACCCUGCAGUUUAUUCCAUCACUGCUACAAGUCUGAACCAAGAACUUUGCCAUUACUGUAUGUAAUUGAUUCAAUUUAACCAAUUCUGGCUCUCAUCUAUUUUUUUUAUGAAUAAACCUCUAGAUUUUUAGAUUCUAAA